GGCGGUUCUCAGGUGACGCACCCUGGAAUCGGGCUCCCUCCUCUCUGGUUCCGGAUGCGUCAUCCAAGAACCGCC
rfam:Myotis lucifugus cont2.4877, whole genome shotgun sequence.